CUCCCAAGUCACUCAAGUCACAUUGGGUACAUUAAGGUGGAGAAAGAGAAUCUCACCAGUGUGAUGGGAGAAUCCCCACUUACAUUUGUGUCCCUCUGCCAGUGGAAAGAGGGGCUUGAUGUAGUGUGAAGAAGGCUUUUGCAAGUAAACAAUUUAAGGUAGCUAUCCUAAGACAGUAUAAAUAUAAACAGUGCCAAAUUAUGAUUUGAGUUCCCUUUAGAGGCUAAAUCUUGUGAAUUGUGAAGUACCCAACCGCUACUUUUCUCAAGGUUCCACUUGUAGUACAUCACUUUUAGCCCCAUCACAGAAACAAACGAACACAGCAUAGUAACAUAUUCACAUCUGAGAACAGGAAACUGAGGAAUGGAGCCCUCUCCGGUCUCUCUCAAGUAUGUGUAGAUUCUUAUUGUGAUGUCAACCCUGGCCAUCACGUGUGGUGACUCUGCUUUAUGGCAUUUAUAUUAGUGUCCCUGCUAAAUAUCAGGACUGGCCCACCAAACCGGGCUGUGGGCCCUUUUCAGUGCAAACCGAAGCUCAACAUCUUCCUAAGUCCAUUUUGAAUGCAUGAGAUUUGUUGGGCAGCUGAAAAUUGCUGUAGCAAUGAAGCACAAGAUGUGCCACCCAGGACAACCACAUCCAGAAAGAAAGGAGACCUCUUCUGGUUGCACAUGAGGAUGCAACCUCUUCCUGUACCAGAGGAAGCUGCAAAAGAAAAUAGCUGGACCAUGUCCACGAUGCUCCAGAUGCCACAGAAGAUUUCAGAAAAAGUGAACCAGGAGUGCCCUCGGUCCCCAGCCAACAGCUUUGAAGGUGGCCUGGAAGAACCAGAUGAAGACAAUACCUAAAUAAAAUCGGAAAAGAAACAAUGCUGGAGGAACUCCUCUCCUGCACCGAAUCUUCUGGGCCAUACAAAUAGAAGAUGUUCGGGGUUGCAAUGAGCAGAGAAGACUGUGACUCCUGGGGACAAGGGGACCCAGCAAGAUGGCCACCACACCCUGGUUGGUUUUCCAGGCACCGCUGAUGACUGACACUAUGAGGAGGAAGCAGCACUCCAGACCAUCAAUAGUGCCCUGUGGGGUGAGUGUGUGCCCAUCUGGAAGCAUGGGGCUGAGGAGCUUUCCUGUGUGUCAAAGGCACCUGAACUCAACGGGACCCCC
rnacentral:lncRNA from 1 species